AAGACUACUUUCAGGGAUCAUUUCUAUAGUUUGCUACUAGGGAAGUUUUUGUGAACGUGUAAAGCACCAGAAAUAGAGGAUUGCUAU
rnacentral:snoRNA from 1 species